rnacentral:rRNA from 1 species
AUGAAGCACACCGUGCAGGCUGAAAACAUAAAUCUUGAUGAUGUUAUUGUACCUGGUAUGCUUAAUGAAGACGACAACAUUCAAAGUAAUGUAAUACCAUUGUCCUAUGCUGGCAGAACUCGUUCUAUGAUUCACGCAUAUCGUGAUGGAAUGUCUGCUUCUCAUGUCCACAACUCACCUGACAUAAUCACCACCUUCACAUGUAACCCUAAGUGGGCUGAGAUGACAAUGCCGCUUAAAUUAGAGCAACAACAAAUCAAUAAGGCUACUGAGACUAAUCGUAUCUAUCGCAUGAAGCUACUUGAGUAUCUGCAGAAGAUCAAUGAAGGGAAGAUAUUUGGGCCUGUAAUCACUAUUCUCCAUGACAUCGAAUUUAGAAAAAAUGCACUGCCGCAUGCCAGAAUCCUUGUUUGGCAAAACAAAAAACAUAAUAGAUUGGUCGUGCCAACUUUCAUGAGAACCUUCGUUUCAACCACUGGAUCUGAGCUAAUUGAUGGUUAUGAUGAUACUCCUACAUAUGGUCUGAUGCCUCGGCUACAAAGG